CUCUUCUUGAAUAUAUUUUGAUGUAUGACCUGCCCGCUGAGUAUUAAAGGGCCGCGGUAUUUUGACCGUGCAAAGGUAGCAUAAUCAUUAGUCUUUUAAUUGUAGGCUGGAAUGAAUGGUUUGACGAGGUGUUAACUGUCUUUAAUUUUUUUUAUUGAAUUUAAAUUUUAGGUUAAAAUGCCUAAAUAUUUUUUUGGGACGAGAAGACCCUAUAGAGUUUUAUAAAUUUUUAUUUUUUUGUGUGAUAAUUUUUGAUUUAAAAAUUUAUUUUGUUGGGGUGAUGGGAAGAUUGAAUUAACUCUUUUUGUUUUAUUAUAUUUAUUUAUAUGUAUUUGAUCCAUUUUUAUUGAUUAUAAGACUAAAUUACC
rnacentral:rRNA from 1 species